AGCAGCCGCGGUAAAUUCCAGCUCCAAUAGCGUAUAUUAAAGUUGUUGCAGUUAAAAAGCUCGUAGUUGAAUUUCGGGAUUAGUAAGUUGGUCGUGCCUCUGGUAUGUACUGGCUUUACUGGUUCCUCCUUCUUGAAGAACUGUAAUGUCAUUAAUUUGGUGUUGCAGGGAAACAGGACUGUUACUUUGAAAAAAUUAGAGUGUUUAAAGCAGGCUAACGCUUGAAUACAUUAGCAUGGAAUAAUGAAAUAGGACGUUUGAUCCUAUUUUGUUGGUUUCUAGGAUUGACGUAAUGAUUAAUAGGGAUAGUUGGGGGCAUUAGUAUUCAAUUGUCAGAGGUGAAAUUCUUGGAUUUAUUGAAGACUAACUACUGCGAAAGCAUUUGCCAAGGAUGUUUU
rnacentral:rRNA from 1 species